rnacentral:rRNA from 1 species
UACGAGAGGCCCAAACGUUAUUCGGAAUUACUGGGCUUAAAGAGUUCGUAGGCGGCGCGGAAAGUGGGGUGUGAAAGCCCUCGGCUCAACCGAGGAAUUGCGCUCCAAACUGCCGUGCUUGAGGGACCUAGAGGUGAGCGGCAACUGAUGGUGGAGCGGUGAAAUGCGUUGAUAUCAUCAGGAACACCGGAGGCGAAGGCGGCUCACUG